rnacentral:rRNA from 1 species
CGGUGUCCGAGUUGUAAUUUGAAGAAGGUAUCUUUGGUUUUGGCUCUUGUCUAUGUUCCUUGGAACAGGACGUCACAGAGGGUGAGAAUCCCGUGCGAUGAGAUGCCCAAUUCCAUGUAAAGUUCCUUCGACGAGUCGAGUUGUUUGGGAAUGCAGCUCUAAGUGGGUGGUAAAUUCCAUCUAAAGCUAAAUAUUGGCGAGAGACCGAUAGCGAACAAGUACUGUGAAGGAAAGAUGAAAAGAACUUUGAAAAGAGAGUGAAAAAGUACGUGAAAUUGUUGAAAGGGAAGGGCUUGAGAUCAGACUUGGAAUUUUCCAGUAAUGGAGCUUUCCGGGCCAGCAUCAGUUUGGAUGGCAGGAUAAUUGCGUAGAAAAGUAGCUCUACUUCGGUGGAGUGUUAUAGUCUGCGUCGAUACUGCCUGUCUAGACUGAGGACUGCGUCUUUGACUAGGAUGCUGGCAUAAUGAUCUUAAGCCGC